AUCAGCACAUGUGUGCACAUGAUGUUGUGUAUUUAUGUACACUGACAGCAGGGAAUUCAUACAUGCGCCCAUUUCAUGAUUAGCCCACUCACAUAAGCUCAGUUACUCUGCGACAUUCUCCUCUGCAAGAACCAUAAACGGCACUCGCAACAGGAAAUUCAGACUCCGAGCGAAACGAAACGCAUUUUCUGAAAAGGUCACCUCGACAGCUGGACUUGCUGAGCUGUGCACCGUGGCAAACAUUCGCUUGGACCGGGUGUACUGGUUAAUGUUUUGGUUAUUCCAAGUGAGUUUCUUAAUGGAAUAACUAAUCACGGUUUCUUAAUCAAUUAAAAGUUAAUGUAGUAUAUUAAUGAUGAUCCAGUCAAUAGCGUCUUCAGUUUACCAAAGGGUUCGUCCAGGGCCAACCCAAAUGCCCCAGUCACGCGUUGAUAAUCUGCAUAUGCUCCAGUGCACCUUACCAACUAAUAUUAUGACUCUGAUGGCAUGCACAUGCUAAUCUAAAGGAUGGACUCAGAUGCCUUUCGGAGACAACAGCCGCUGACGUCGGUCUGCUUGCGAUUUCCCAA